rnacentral:miRNA from 1 species
AUUUUGAACCAGAAUCUGCAUUGCAGUUUCUGGUUCCAUAAUUCAAUUUCAAAAAGCAACCAGAAACUGCAAUGCAGUUUCUGGUUCCAUAAUUCAAUUUCAGAG